rnacentral:lncRNA from 1 species
UGCAGUGGCAUGAUCACAGCUCAUUGCAGCCUUGACCUCCUGUGCUCAAGCAAUCCUCCUGCCUCAGCCUCCAGAGUAGCUGAGACUACAAGCACCCACCACCGCGCCUGGAUAAUUUUUAAACUUUUUAGAGAUGGUAUCUCACUGUGUUACCCAGGCUGGCCUCAAACCCCUGGCUCCAAGCAAUCUUCCUGCCUCAGCCUCCCAAAGUGCUGGGAUUACAGCUAAUUUGCAAGAAUGGAACAAUGAAGACUCCUAGACCUACUCACCUGCCUUAAAGAUAUGCUAUUGUCCCCCAGAGAGGUGGCAAAAUGGUUUGUAUUUUUGUCUUAAGCCUUGGACUUUUAAAAUCCUGGAUUUUGAUGUGUGUGCAGAAGAGAACUAAGAUAGCGUGCUUGAGACCGCUCUCCUUUAAAAGGCCUGCUUGCAAGAGUAGCCUCUGACUGGCAUCUGGGAACUUGGAUCUUGAGAGAGUUGCCACCAUUCUCUAACUUUGCUGUGCUGCUUUGCUGUGCCUGAACUGUUUGCACACAAAAUGGGGUUUAUGCAGAACACCUGCUUGCCCUCUGGAGGUCUGGAAUUUUGUUUCAUGCUAGAUAGAGAAUGCUAUGUGACCAGAUCUCCAUAAAAACCCCAGGCACUGAGUCUCUAAUGAGCUUCCCUGGUAGACGACACUUCGACUGUGCUGCUACAACACGUUGCAGGAGGAAUUGCUCCCAUGAGACUGCCCUGGGAAGGAACCCUUGGAAACUGGCACCUUCUUGCCUGGGACUUUGUCCAAUGCACCUUUCCCUUUGCUGAUUUUAUUUUGUGUCCUUUUGCUGUAAUAAGUCAUAGUUGUGAUACAAAGAGUAUGCUAAGUCCUGUGAGUCCCAGUGAAUCACUGAACAGGAGGUAGGGGUGGUGUUAUGGACCCUUGACACAGUGUGAAAGCUCCAGAUGUUUUAUGUUGAUUCAAAAUGAAAACUUCUGAAGCUCACAUGAAUCGUGUCUGUAGGCCAGACAUGGCCUACGAGCAGGCACUUUGGGGCUUCAGAGUGAGCUCGAGCCCCUCACUGGACAGGGAUCAAGUGAGGCCUAAGGUGGGACUUGCCCCCUCCCAGGUGCCCAAGCUGGAAAGAGGGUCUGGGCUUCCCAGGCCAGAGCUGCUUUCAGGAGAAUGUACCUGGUGGAAGAAGUGGUGGAAGGAAGGAAAUCAUGUCUUGGUUUCUGAUGGGAGAAGGUUUUCAAUCUAUGUUGUGUGAAAAAGCAGUUGGUACAGAGACUCUGUACCCAUAACAUGAUUUUAUUUCAUAGAUAGGAUCUCUAUAUCUCAGCCUUAGAAACAGGGAAAUUCUGACGCAUGCUACAACCUGGACGAAGCUUGAGGACAUGAUGCUGAGUGAAAUAAGGCAGUCACAAAAGACAAAUGCUGCAGAAUUCCACUUCUAUGUGGUCCCUAGAGUUGUCAAAUCCAUAGAGGCAGAAUGGAGGUUGCUAGGGGAUGGGGAGGGGGAAUGAGGAGUGAGUGCUUGAUAGGACAGAGUUUCAGUUUAGAAGAUGAAAGCGUUCUGGAGAUGGACGGUGGUGAUGGCUGCAAACAAUAUACACCUAAAAAUGGUUUAAAUGGUAACUUUUAUGUUAUAUAUAUUUUACCACAGUUAAAACAUAGCAAGAUAAAAUAGGAUGUCUCUCUGUUCACAUCGCUAUGGUCCUGGGAAGACACAGACCAAGGUGCUCAUGGUCAUCAUCUGUGGAUGGAGGGAUUGUGGGGGAGAGUUUUCUUUUUGUUUAUUUGGUUUUAGAGAUGGGGGGCUUGCUAUGCUGGCCAGGUUGGUCUUGAACUUCCGGCCUCAAAUGAUCCUCCUGCUUCAACCUCUCAAAGUGCUGGGAUUACAGGUGUGAACCACCGUGCCCAGCCUGGGAGAUAGUUUUCUUUCUGCUUUUCUAUUUUCCAUAUUUUUUUUUUUGGCAUGCAAUAUAUAUUAUGUUUUAAUGUUGAAAAAAAAAUUUUUUUUUUUUU